GGACCUCCAGAGGGGCAGAAGUGACAGGAGUAGUGCUGGUGCUGGGAGCUGAUGAUUUUCUACACUUAAUGAGAACACAGACCCAAGACACGACCACAGGAGCCGAGAGCGGGAGACUGCACCAGCUUUGGAGGUGAGCUGUCGAGCACAUUGCUGGGGAAAGCCGGACAUGAGCGCCUCCUUCAGCAGCAGACACAGCCUAGGACCCGGCUGGGCUCAGGACCUCCCCUCCCAUCUCUAGUCCCACGAGGUUUGGAGGCAGUGGGGGAGGCAGCGGCCCAGCAAUGAAGAAGCCGAGAAGUGGAUGUCUGCCGCCCUCCCCUCCUCCCUCCCAGAAGUCCUGGAUGUGAAACUAACCCAGAGUGGAUGCUGAAGCUCAUCUUCCAAGUAAUCUUCAAUUUCUGGAGACUGCACGGCUUCCUGCUCAACGCCAGCUGGGCCUUCAUCCUAGAGAGGAGCAACUGGUAAGUAGAUGUGGCCCCCUCAGUGGUGGCCGUAGCCUGGGUACCAAAGAGGAAGGGAAGGGACAACCCAUUCCCUGGGGUUGGGUGGCCCAUGCAGACAGAGAUGUGGCCUUCAUUCCCAUAGCAUGGAGGGUCACGUGGGGUAGCCCCACAGGCAUGGGGAGAAAUGUAGGGGCCUGGUAGGCUUCAGUAGAGUGGGAGACCAUGGAGACAGAGUGGAUAGGAUGUUGGGGAAUGAGUCCCUGGUGCUCUGCAGAGAAUUAGGGGCCAAAGAACAUGGUAAGAGGGGGAGCCUUGGGUCUCCAGGAAAUGGGAGGGAGACCUGGAGGAAAAGUGUGUGCUGUUGAGUCAGAGUACAAAACCUAAGAAGUCUGGUUUGGAGAGACAUGUUAAUAAAAGUUUUGGUUUUAUAUUUUGGGGCUAAGAAUGACGGGAUGGAGGUAUUUUGUGUGAUGGGAGUGGAGGGUUAGAUGCCAUGGAAGAACCUGGGGCAUGCAAGGAGUUGGGAGCUGAAAUCAGGUAUUUUGUGUAUAUUGCCAUCCUAUGACAUAGAGAGGGAAAUUUAAGGAGUGUAUGGAGGAGGUCAGGUGACUUUCAGUAGAGUCAUAAUAGGGAGGAGCUGGUAGGUCUCCUAGUAGAACUGGUGGAGUCUCCGAGUGUUAGACCUGGACAGGGCCUGGGCACAAAACUUAGGAAAAUGAGAGUAAGAAAAUGGUGAGGGGUGUAGUGUGGUCUUUCUUAGGGACUGUGGUAUGUGUGCACGGUUAUUCAGGAAACUUCGAGAAAGGUGUCAGGCAUACCAGGGAUGGAGAGAGGCUUAUCUGGGAGAAAACUGGAUAGGUGUUGUGCUUAGGAAGACAAGAACCUGAUCUAGCCUGGAAUGCAAUUUGUGGUUGUGGUCAGCUUAUAGAAGUGUGAAUUGGGGCAGAGGACUCUCUCUUGGUAAAGGUGUAUUUGUUGUCUUUCAAAGAUGUUUCUGUUAUGUGCCAGCAUUUGUUCUCGUUAUUUAAUGUGAUGCAGGGAGCAACAUGAGGUACUUUGAAAAGUCUGUGGAAGGAAGCAGUUGUGAGUUUGUUGUCUUUCAAGACAUUUUGAUGAACUGCGCACAGCUUUGUCGUGGUGCAUGUUUUCCAUAUCCUUCUAGGCAGCUCUGUGAAACCUUCUGCCUAUGGGGAGUUUGCCUGGCCCUGGUGUGCAAGGAGGAGAGAGAGAGUGGCCUGUCGCUCGAGCAUGGCCUGUCGCUCGAGUGUGGCCAGGGCCCUGCCUGAGGGGAGCUGGGACUGGCCCUGGAUCCCCAGGAGGAGAAGGGGCCUGUCCCUAGAGGGUGACCAUGGCCAUAGCUCCAGGGAGCAGGGCCCGACCCUGCAGGGCAAGUACGGGAGUGAGGCCCAGCCCUGGAGGUUGGCCAAGGCCAUGGCUGAGUGGAGCUGGGCCCAGCCCUGGAGGUCAAGGAGUGCAGCAGAGCCUGGCCCAGGAGGGCGAGCAGUGGAGUGCGGUCUGGCCCUGGAUGGUGUUGAGGGCAGUGGGGCCAGGCCCUAGAGGGCCGCGUGUGGAUGGAGCCCAAUCCCUGGAGGGCGAGGAGGAGAGCGGGGUCCAGACUGGAGGGCAUUGAGGGGAGUGGGUUCCAGCCUUGGAGGACAGCGUGGAGAGCGGGGCCCCUGCCCUGAAGGGCCAGGAAGGGAUCAGGGUGUGGCCCUUGAGGGCGUUGAGGGCACUGGGGUCUGGACCUGGAGGGCAUUGAACAGAGCGGGGCUCAGGCCCUGGAGGGCAAGGAGGGGAUCAGGGUGUGGCCCUCGAGGGCGUUGAGGGCACUGGGGUCUGGACCUGGAGGGCAUUGAACAGAGCGGGGCUCAGGCCCUGGAGGGCAAGGAGGGGUGUGGGGCCCAGGCCCUGGACAGCCAAGAGGGGAGCAGUGUCCGGCCCUGGAGGGUGGUGAGGUGAGUGGGUCUCACAGCUGGAGGGCCUUGAGGGGAGUGGGGCUCAAGCCUGGAGAGCAGUCUGGGGGGCAGGGCCCGGCCCUUGAGGGUGAGGAGGAGGGCCGGGCCUGACCUUGGAGGGCGAGCAGGGGAGCAGAGCCCGGCCCUUGAGGGUUAGGCUUGGAGUGGGGCCCUUG